UGAGGAAUAUUGGUCAAUGGGCGAGAGCCUGAACCAGCCAAGUAGCGUGCAGGAUGACGGCCCUAUGGGUUGUAAACUGCUUUUAUGUGGGGAUAAAGUGCGUGACGUGUCAUGCAUUGCAGGUACCACAUGAAUAAGGACCGGCUAAUUCCGUGCCAGCAGCCGCGGUAAUACGGAAGGUUCGGGCGUUAUCCGGAUUUAUUGGGUUUAAAGGGAGCGUAGGCCGUUUGGUAAGCGUGUUGUGAAAUGUAGGAGCUCAACUUCUAGAUUGCAGCGCGAACUGUCAGACUUGAGUGCGCACAACGUAGGCGGAAUUCAUGGUGUAGCGGUGAAAUGCUGAGAUAUCAUGAAGAACUCCGAUUGCGAAGGCAGCUUACGGGAGCGCAACUGACGCUGAAGCUCGAAGGUGCGGGUAUCGAACAGG
rnacentral:rRNA from 1 species